rnacentral:lncRNA from 1 species
AGGGGUUUUUCGUUAAAUACUUAGUUUGAGGGUUUUUACCAAAAAAAAACUUAGUUGAGGGGUUUUAAAGUUAAAAAUCCUAUUAUUAAUAUCUCGUGGAAAAGAGUACAUCCAUAUUAUAUACUAAUAUAUGUUUAAGAUUUAAAUUCAAGUGUGGGGUUUAAGAUUUAAAAUAAUAAGUUUAAAUAUUUUCAAAAAAUAUUUUUUUUGAAUUUCAAAAUAAAAUUUGAAAAAAAGUUUGAAAAAAUUGGAAAAAGUUUGAAUAUUGAAUAAAGUUUUUUUCGAAAAAAACUAUUUUUACUUUUUAUUAUUGAUUUAAAUAGUUAUUUAUUUACAAAUCUAUAGAGUAAGGUGUAAUUGUCAGUUACUUUUUUAAUAAAAUUUAUUUUAGUUAUUUUUGUGUGUUUUUUUGGUAAUUUUUUUUUUUUUUUUGAAAAUUUGCUCUAUCAGUUACAUCAAAAACGAAAAAGAUUAAUUACAACUGGCUUGGUUGCUUCAACCAAGGAAUCAGUGAUAAAUUCAUAUCUUCAUUUGAAAUAUGUACCAAGUUUAUUUCAAAUUAAGAAAAAUCUAUAUAUAAUAGCAAACAUGUUUUCUUCAACCGCUGAUGUCAUCAUUUUGAAGGAAAAAAAAU